rnacentral:sRNA from 1 species
AAGCAAAGACAACGGCGACAACAACAACGCCUUGCGACAAGCUAGGCCAAAGCCGGGCCGGCCGGGCUUAAGGGGCAGAAAAAUAAAACAGCACACAGCGGCGACAUGAAGCUGCUGAACUGAACCGAACAACUGACUGCUGAUACAAACGGUUAUACUUUUUUUCCUAAAGUCAGUCAGUCGUAAUCAACAACGUGUGAGACGCGCUCGAGAAAUUGAAAAACUACAACUUUCAGGUAGUUUCGAUUUUGAGAAAUAAAAAAAAAAAAAAAAAUAACCAGAAAAAAAAAACGCAAGGCAACGCACAAACCGUAACGAAACGAAUAUACGAAAAAAAAACAACAAAUUUGAUAGUUUUUUGUUUGUCAAAAAAAAUCCUCCUCCUUCCCCCCCCCCAAAAUAUAAAAAAAAAGUUUUGUUAACACAGGAGGGGGAAAAAAAGAAAAUCUCAAGGAAAUGGUGUGAAAAUUUGUGUUGUGGGGGGCCUUUUUUUUAUCACAUACCCCCAAACCGUUAAUAGUGAGUGUCUUGGGAGCUUUUACAUAAGCAAAUCAUCCUCCAAAAAAAGAAAAGGAAAAAGAAAUCGACAAAAAUGUUUUUCCACAUCAUUACCAUUGUGCGGCAGUGUUUUUGCAGGUGUUCGAAAGGAAAAUUUUCCAAUGUCUAUUGAAAAAGAAAAAAAAAAUUGUUUUAUCGAAGUCAUACACAACCCGUUUAAAUCGAGGGUAGAGGAAGAAGCAGCAGCAGCGGCAGCAGCGGAAUAAGGAAAAAAGUUUAAUAAUACAAUCAAUAAUUUGUGGAAUAAUCACAUCAAUCGAAUUUAAUCAGUGUUGCUUGGGAAACGGCUGUGGAAAUUUUAAAAAUUAUUGAAUGAAAAGUGCAUAUAAAGAAUUUAUGUAUUAAAUUCCCUACAAAAAUAUUUAAGAAAAAUAGUGAUAAUAGUGAAUAUUGUUGCAUGUAGUCUAUUAAGGAUUCAAAUGAUGUUUUCUGUUUCUGGUACCAGUUACCAAUGUCAACUUUACAUUUUGCAGCUAAGAGGAUAUUAAAGUGAUUAGAAAAGUGUUAAAUGCGGAACCGUCCACCGUUAAUAAUAAAAAGUAAUAUUACAAAAAUUGUGUAAAAUUGUGUCUGAAAGAAAAUACAUAAUCAUAUAUUCAUUAUAAUCAAUACAUAAUUUUAAAAAUAUUAAUAAUAAUAUUUCAUUUACCUUCAAGUCGUCUGGAAUGCCUAACAACAAACGGUAGAAUUGUGCAUUUUCAGUAUUGAAAGUUUAAAUAAUUGUGAGCAAAUAGUGAAGUUUCCAUCACCAUAACAUAACACCAAUCAGCAUUUUUGAAUUUCUUGUCAAUUGCUUGUGGAUUACUUCGUUGACAUUGAUAAGAAUUGAUAUAGCAGCUCAUGAUCUUUUGAAGACAUAUGCAAAGAGAGACAUCUUCAAGAUCAGAGGAUAAA